rnacentral:rRNA from 1 species
CUACGGGUUGCUGCAGUGGGGAAUAUUGGACAAUGGGGGAAACCCUGAUCCAGCAAUGCCGCGUGUGUGAAGAAGGCCUGCGGGUUGUAAAGCACUUUCGGUUGGGAGGACUGCUUCUAGCACUAAUAUUGUUGGAAGUUGACGUUACCUUCAGAAGAAGCACCGGCUAACUCCGUGCCAGCAGCCGCGGUAAUACGGGAGGGUGCAAGCGUUAAUCGGAAUUACUGGGCGUAAAGCGCGCGUAGGCGGCUAGAUCAGUCGGGUGUGAAAGCCCCGGGCUUAACCUGGGAACUGCAUCCGAUACUGUCUAGCUUGAGUACAGGAGAGGAGAGUGGAAUUCCACAUGUAGCGGUGAAAUGCGUAGAUAUGUGGAGGAACACCAAUGGCGAAGGCAGUUCUCUGGCCUGAUACUGACGCUGAGGUGCGAAAGCGUGGGGAGCAAACAGGAUUAGAUACCCUCGUAGUC